UACGGAGGGUGCAAGCGUUAAUCGGAAUUACUGGGCGUAAAGCGUACGCAGGUGGCUGAGUCAGUCGAUUGUGAAAGCCCUGGGCUUAACCUGGGAAUUGCAGUCGAUACUACUCAGCUAGAGUAUGGGAGAGGGUAGUGGAAUUCCCGGUGUAGCGGUGAAAUGCGUAGAUAUCGGGAGGAACAUCAGUGGCGAAGGCGGCUACCUGGCCCAAUACUGACACUCAGGUGCGAAAGCGUGGGGAGCAAACAGG
rnacentral:rRNA from 1 species